rnacentral:pre_miRNA from 1 species
ACAGAACCCACAGGGCUUUCCACUCUCAUUAAGAAGUGUAGAAGGACUGUUGGGUCCUGUAA